UGUAGACUGGAUAGGAAGAUAAAAGGCAUCUUUUAUCUUUUAAAAGACCUAGUAAUAGGUAUGCUUUAGGAGGGGCUUGCGCCAUAUUAGUUAGUUGGUAGGGUAAUGGCCUACCAAGACGAUGAUGUGUAGCUGGACUGAGAGGUUGAACAGCCACAUUGGGACUGAGACACGGCCCAAACUCCUACGGGAGGCAGCAGUAGGGAAUUUUCGGCAAUGGAGGAAACUCUGACCGAGCAACGCCGCGUGAAUGACGAAGUACUUCGGUAUGUAAAGUUCUUUUAUCAAGGAAGAAAAGCAAAUGGCGAACCAUUUGUUUGCCGGUACUUGAUGAAUAAGCCCCGGCUAAUUAUGUGCCAGCAGCCGCGGUAAGACAUAAGGGGCAAGUGUUAUCCGGAAUUAUUGGGCGUAAAGGGUGCGUAGGCGGUCUAGUAAGUCAGUGGUGUAAUGGCAACGCUUAACGUUGUCCGGCUAUUGAAACUGCUAAACUUGAGUUAGAUAGAGGCGAGUGGAAUUCCAUGUGUAGCGGUAAAAUGCGUAAAUAUAUGGAGGAACACCAGAGGCGUAGGCGGCUCGCUGGGUCUUAACUGACGCUGAGGCACGAAAGCGUGGGGAGCAAACAGGAUUAGAUACCCUGGUAGUCCACGCCGUAAACGAUGAGUACUAAGUGUCGGGUUAAACCGGUACUGAAGUUAACACAUUAAGUACUCCGCCUGAGUAGUACGUACGCAAGUAUGAAACUUAAAGGAAUUGACGGGACUCCGCACAAGCGGUGGAUCAUGUUGUUUAAUUCGAAGAUACCCGAAAAACCUUACCAGGUCUUGACAUGUUUUUGCAAAAUGAUAGUAAUAUCGUGGAGGUUACCAGAAACACAGGUGGUGCAUGGUUGUCGUCAGCUCGUGUCGUGAGAUGUUAGGUUAAGUCCUAAAACGAGCGAAACCCUUAUCGUUAGUUGCCAGCACGUUAUGGUGGGGACUUUAACGAGACUGCCAAUGAUAAAUUGGAGGAAGGUGAGGAUCACGUCAAAUCAGCAUGCCCCUUAUGACCUGGGCUACAAACGUGAUACAAUGGCUGUUACAAAGGGUAGCUGAAACGCAAGUUCUUGGCCAAUCCCCAAAAACAGUCCCAGUCCGGAUUGAAGUCUGCAACUCGACUUCAUGAAGUUGGAAUCGCUAGUAAUCGCGAAUCAGCAUGUCGCGGUGAAUACGUUCUCGGGGUUUGUACACACCGCCCGUCA
rnacentral:rRNA from 1 species